GCAGUCGAACGCGUUGGCCCAAUUGAUUGAUGGUGCUUGCACCUGAUUGAUUUUGGUCGCCAACGAGUGGCGGACGGGUGAGUAACACGUAGGUAACCUGCCCAGAAGCGGGGGACAACAUUUGGAAACAGAUGCUAAUACCGCAUAACAGCGUUGUUCGCAUGAACAACGCUUAAAAGAUGGCUUCUCGCUAUCACUUCUGGAUGGACCUGCGGUGCAUUAGCUUGUUGGUGGGGUAACGGCCUACCAAGGCGAUGAUGCAUAGCCGAGUUGAGAGACUGAUCGGCCACAAUGGGACUGAGACACGGCCCAUACUCCUACGGGAGGCAGCAGUAGGGAAUCUUCCACAAUGGGCGCAAGCCUGAUGGAGCAACACCGCGUGAGUGAAGAAGGGUUUCGGCUCGUAAAGCUCUGUUGUUAAAGAAGAACACGUAUGAGAGUAACUGUUCAUACGUUGACGGUAUUUAACCAGAAAGUCACGGCUAACUACGUGCCAGCAGCCGCGGUAAUACGUAGGUGGCAAGCGUUAUCCGGAUUUAUUGGGCGUAAAGAGAGUGCAGGCGGUUUUCUAAGUCUGAUGUGAAAGCCUUCGGCUUAACCGGAGAAGUGCAUCGGAAACUGGAUAACUUGAGUGCAGAAGAGGGUAGUGGAACUCCAUGUGUAGCGGUGGAAUGCGUAGAUAUAUGGAAGAACACCAGUGGCGAAGGCGGCUACCUGGUCUGCAACUGACGCUGAGACUCGAAAGCAUGGGUAGCGAACAGGAUUAGAUACCCUGGUAGUCCAUGCCGUAAACGAUGAGUGCUAGGUGUUGGAGGGUUUCCGCCCUUCAGUGCCGGAGCUAACGCAUUAAGCACUCCGCCUGGGGAGUACGACCGCAAGGUUGAAACUCAAAGGAAUUGACGGGGGCCCGCACAAGCGGUGGAGCAUGUGGUUUAAUUCGAAGCUACGCGAAGAACCUUACCAGGUCUUGACAUCUUGCGCCAACCCUAGAGAUAGGGCGUUUCCUUCGGGAACGCAAUGACAGGUGGUGCAUGGUCGUCGUCAGCUCGUGUCGUGAGAUGUUGGGUUAAGUCCCGCAACGAGCGCAACCCUUGUUACUAGUUGCCAGCAUUAAGUUGGGCACUCUAGUGAGACUGCCGGUGACAAACCGGAGGAAGGUGGGGACGACGUCAGAUCAUCAUGCCCCUUAUGACCUGGGCUACACACGUGCUACAAUGGACGGUACAACGAGUCGCGAACUCGCGAGGGCAAGCAAAUCUCUUAAAACCGUUCUCAGUUCGGACUGCAGGCUGCAACUCGCCUGCACGAAGUCGGAAUCGCUAGUAAUCGCGGAUCAGCAUGCCGCGGUGAAUACGUUCCCGGGCCUUGUACACACCGCCCGUCACACCAUGAGAGUUUGUAACACCCAAAGUCGGUGGGGUAACCUUUUAGAGCCAGCCG
rnacentral:rRNA from 2 species